UAUUUCCAUUUUGCUCUAACGUACAUUUCCUCAAGAUCUGACAAGUGAGGACGUGACAAUCUUUACGAAAAAUGCGUAGCGAGUAACUUACUUGAAAAAUAAACCGUCGCGUGUAUUAAAAUAACGAAUAGGCUAUAUUUUGCUUUAUAUUGCUACCCUGGAGUUUUAGAUGGGUGAAUCCUUAAUUAGCCCCACUGAGACAGGAAGCAUCACAGACUGACAACUAUUCAGGAGAAAUGAUUGCAAAGAAAGCAACGCUGAAUAGGCUACACAAAAAAAGGAGAAGGUGAAGACAGCAGACUGCAGGAGUGUCUCUGGCUCCUGCAGAGCUUCAGUGUGUCCAGAGGAAUUAACGGACCAAGACCUCUGCCACCAGAGACAAGCCCUCAAGCCCUCACAAGAAUAACAGUGUGUUUGGAUGCUUGAGCGAGGAGAAAAAAAAAGAAAGAAAUUCCCAGGAGCAGUCCAGACAGUUCACACAAAGAGACACAGACUAGACUUCUCUCACCAUCCUCCAAUUACUGGCUUUGCAUAUUUUAUCAUACGUAUGUGUGUGCUUGUUUUUGUGCAUGUCUCAUCUCAUCCCUGUAAGCCAUUUAAUAAGGAGACCCUAAGAUGGAAAAAGAAAGGAAAGGUGUGGUUCAGCAUGUUUACUGUACCUAGAGGUGUGUUCUUUGCAGCGCGUGUAACUCGUAUCAAAAAUUUCUUGAGGAAAUAUUGAAUAGCAUCCUUGCUUCUCCCUCAUUGUUGUAACUAGCUGUAUGUAGCAGUGCUACUAACUUAACUUUUCAGUAGCGUGACAUUUGCUCAGCUAUUCCCAAAAUAGCGUACAUUUUCCUGUAACAAGCUACUUUUUUCCUACAUGUUGCGGCGUAGCAUGACUAAACUCCAUCGCUGUUAUGCUUUAUGUCGCAGUGCAUUAUUCUAACAGCCUAACAGCUAAGCAAGAUGUAUUUAAAUCAAAAUGAAUUCCAAAUGGACUGAAUUUGCUUUUUUAAUAGAUGUUCCUGGUUUAAUUCCAA